rnacentral:piRNA from 1 species
UGAAAAGAGACAGGGUAAGGAUGGACAUC